UAUACCCUUCUCGAUCAGAAAACCUGAGCUCGUAUAAAAGUAAAAGACAAAUUAUAAUUAAAAAUUUAAGUAAGUAUACAUAUUUUUAACAACUAACUAAGUACUAUCAUAUGCUGUCUUUAUUUUUCCGUAAUUUCAAUAUAAAACAAUUUAUUAUAAAUACGAUACGAUAUACAUUAAAAUGCAUUAAAUUAAUUUUUUAUUUUCGAAUUAAAUUUUGAAUGAUGUAAAAUGUAGAUUCUACUGGAUAAGUUAAAAAAUAUUGUAACUAAUGAAUAGGUUAGCCGCAUAUAGGGUGGACAAUGAAGGCAAAUGAGAUUUUUAAUUAACUUUUUCCGAAAACAUUACAUUUAUUAUAUUAUUAAUAUUUAAUUAUUAUAAAAGUACCUAUAUAAUAUUUAUAUUAUAAUUUUCUUAAUACGGUGUGAAUGAGUUCGUGCUAUUGACUAUUUAUUAUUGUCGCGUAGCUGAAUGGUUGAGGAGGGUCCCUAAUACAAGCACCAUUGUUGAGGUGUCGACUUAUUUCACGGCAGAAGCACUACAACGUAACGUUGCAUCUACUCGUUGGCCGUUGCUUGUCGUUUUUACAUCCCCCCGCGGCCCGCGCUCAUAUUUUCAUUCUGGGGUCUGUCUUGGCACAAGUUUUCACGGUUAGUUAUAGAACUUUGCUUAAAUAGUUAUUAUCAAUUAUUAAAAGAAGUCUUGUGCAGUAGACUCAUCCUAUAGAAUAGCACGGAGUAUAACCGCGAUCGAUACCUAGCCGCAUUUGCACAUUAUUUUGUUACCAUGUUCAAUUACUAAAACGAAAACAAUUUAAAAAAAGAGUAGUUUUGCUUAAUUUUGAAGUUAUACUAUUUUAAGUCCGAGAAACACCCAAGGUAGUUUUACAUAACAAGUCGAGAGAUGUUUUUGAAUUUAAUAAUUUGCUCUGAAAUAAUAGUUGGUUCUGAAACAGACAGCAGACCCUAGAAUGCUAUUAUAUGCUAAAAUGCCUCAUCUAGUGUUAUAUGUAUAGUAUAGCGUAUGGUGUUGGGUGGCGAGGUACGUUUUCGUCGGCGUAGUAUGCGCAAAAUAUAAGGAUCGGUCCUGGUUAUACUAUAUUACUAUGAUAUGCGUUCGAGAUGUCUGUGUAGUGUGUAGUUCGACCUAUGCGGUCGUUUUUGUGUGUGGUCGACUUAUGCAGUCAGGUUGUGUUUUUCUUAGAAGUGUGGUUGACUUCUCAGAUUUUAGGAUUAGAGUAAAAACUAUAGCUUAUAUAUUAUGUAUUAUAUAGGUACUUAAGAGCAAACUUGUAUUAAUUAUUUAAGAUAAGCUAUACACAUUUAACAAUUUAUUAAUUUUAUUUUAACUACUAAAUAAUUUACAAUUUAAAAAUUUCAACUUCAAAUGCUUAUAAAAUUAAAUCCUACAUGUAUAAUGUACAUCAUUAAUAUUUUUAAAUUCCUAGCUAUAAUAACAAUUUAUGUGAAACCUUGUAUUACAUUUUCAAACUUUUUGACUGAUCAAAACAAUUUUAUUAUCACCAUUUAUAGAAAAGAACUAAAAAAAAAAUAAAAAUAAAAAACUUCAAAUACCUAGCUCAAAAAGAGUCAAAAUAUAUUGAAAAUAUUAUUAUGUGUAGAUAAUUAUAGUAUUAACAUUUGGAGAAAAUCAGAAAAAAAAUUAUGUCAAAAACUAAAUUUGCGUAAAAAUGCAUGUUCUUCGGCAUCUUUUCUAGUAGAAACGCGAAUAUGUUACUUUAGGAAGUCAAAAGUAGAAGAUUCUUAUGCAAAACCAGUUUUCGAUUUUUUUUGUGCGUGUGGGUAACUCAAAUUAAAUAUUAAUUACCGUAGACCAUUCGCUUAUUACAUAUAUUUAUAAAUUUAUUUAUUUAUGGUAAAUUAAGUGGUAUUUUAUUUUUAUUGAUUAUCAUUAGAAGAUUUAAAGAAAGGAAGAUUCAAUAAAUAUAUGUACCGCAAGGUCAUAAAUUAUAAUAUUUGAAUCUCAAUGAAUUAUAUUAAAAGUUGUCUAAAUGUUAGACUUAUUUUAAACCCAUGUAGAAAAUCUUGGUAAGUAUAUUUUUUGUAAUCCUAGUAAUGAUACUUUGUACAAUAAUUAUGGUAUUUUAUACCAAUUUUAUAGAAAAUUGAUGGAUCUGGUGCACGUAGUGCACUUUGCUAUAAUGACGGAAUAAAAUAAUGACUUUCUUAGUGUCGUCAAUCUGAUACAGUUUCUAUGAUAGACCGCCAAAGCGCUAGUAGUGAGAUCGCCUUUCCCCGUUUAAAUAUUAUUUAUAAUGUUAUGCUAAUAUUAUGCUAUUACCAUCAAUUUCUUAUUAUAGUGAAUUCAAUUCAUUAAGAUGAUGUGUUUUCUCCGUCUUACAAACGCGUAACAUACCAAAUUUAUGCUCAGAAAUUCAAGUUUUAUGCCGGUAGCAUAAAACUAGUAAAUUAGAGUGAAUCAAUCAUAUUAUGAAACUUGAUGGUAAAAACAUUAUCUGUGUUUUGUUGGAAGUUUUUUUACGAUAGUUCUGUUUUUAAGUGAGUUAUAGCAUGUAUAAUAAAUGUAAAUUUAAAAUGCUCAUAACUCACUUAAAACUGAAUUAUCGUAAAAAAACUUAAAACAAAACACAGAUAAUGUUCUUAGUUCUUACCAUCAAGUUUCAUAAUAGGUCGAUUCGCUCUAAUUUUUAAGUUAAUAACACCAUAAAACUUGAAUUACUGAGCGUAAAUUUGGUAUGUUACGCGUUUGUAAGACGGAGACAACACAUGCGGGUGUGGCGUCCUCUUAAUAUAAAUACGACUAUAGUAUUAUAAUACGAGUACCUAUAGGCCAUGGGACUAUACUUUAUGCUUAGUUUUAUUUUAUAGAUGUUUAUUAACAUUAAUAAGGCAUUAUUAUUUAUAUAUGUACGUCUAUACAUUAAUACGUUACGUAUUUAGUUGUUAGAGAAUUUAAGUUUGAAUUUGUGAUGCACGGACAUAUGUGUAAUACACCCAAUUGUAUAUCAGGAUUCAGGAUACGAUUCCUACAUUAUUAAAUACCAUUUUUUUUGUGACAAUGAUUAUUUUUUGGAUCCAAUUUUGGAUUGUAUAAUUUAUUUUAUUUUAACAGUUAAGUUAUGUAAGCAAAUUUUAUGCCACUUUGUUGAGUGUUCUACAUGUCAUCAUUCAAACCAAUUUUUCGUCACAACCUGUUGCUCGUUUAGAUAAGAAAUAACAUUGAUUCAGAAUGAUAUUUAAUGCAUUUAUGCAUACAAACAGACAGUUCUUACUUCUUUAAUUUCAUCUGUAAAAUUGAAUAUUUGUUUUUAAAAUAUUGCAAAAUGGCAGAUGUAUUUAAAUUAUGCUUGUCAGAGUUGUUAGAAGAAAGUUCGUGAAGUUAGCCCACCUAAGUACUGCAAUUUUUUUAAAUCUAUGUUAUUAUUUCGCAAGUUAUUUGAAAGUAUUUGCAAGUCUAUUUUUAGAAUUUGCAAGUCCAAUCUUUCACCGUAAAACCAAACAUUUAAAGAUUGGUCAACUUCACGUAUCCCACUCGUUUUGACCCAGAACUUCGAAAUCGGUAUCAAACAAAAGCUAACGAUUAGCAAGUAUUUGAAAGUCCCUUUUAGAAAUUUGCAAGUAAAGUCCUUCAGGCGGCCGUUACAAACUUUUGAACUUGUGAAGUUGGCCCACCCACUUUGUCCUAGAACUAGAAAUCAGCACUAAACGAAAGCUAAUGAUUAGCCAGAGUUUGCGAGUCUGUUUUUAGAAUUUGCAAGUCAUUCAAGUGGUUUCUAUAAAUUUUUAAACUUGUGAAUUGGCCCACCUGUUUUGACCUAGAACUUUGAAAUCAGCGCCAAACACUAAUGAUUACCUUGUUAAGCUAAUGAUUAACAAGAAUUUGCAAGUCUGUUUUUAGAAUUUUCAAGUCCCCCGUACGACCGCUAUGAGGUUUGAAGUUUAGAAUUUUAGUUCCCAAUACAAUGGAUAGGAAAUGAGGGCUUCAGGUAACAGUCCCCGUGAAGAAGAUUUGCUGGGUUCCCCGUGGUGGAGACGUGUGACCACACGUAAUUUGGGAUCAAAAGAUGAAUUUUGGCUACACUAUUUGUUACAAAAAUGUUGAAGCUCUUUUGAUCAGUCGUGAGCCACGACAGUACCAAGAACGAAUCGGUCCAAGCAUGUACCUAUUAGUGGCACAUUCAGUAGUAAUAGCAGGUGAUUUUCGCAGGAUGAUAAAACUGUGGAUCUGCCAGAUGUUGAUAACACGUUCGCACACUUGAUGGUAAUGGAGCGGAUGGUCUGAAGUGAUUCGAUUAAGGACAAUCAAAUCGGGACAGUUGAAACUUGGAUUGGAUGCAUGAUGUGGUACAAAUGAGCAUGUAACACUACCUUUCACCUGCUUGAUAGGACUCUGACCCACCCGAAUAUUUCGGUGUGGCAUUUGUGGCGGGCGAGGCUAAUCGAGCGGUACAUUCAGUAGUAAUAGCAGAAAUGUCGAACCACUAUUAACUAAUACACGCACAUUAUCAUCAUUGCUGUCUUUAUUCCGGACGCAUACGAUGGCUGUACCCAACAGCACCUUACUAGUUGCCCGUGUAGUGCCUGCGAAAUAAGUGCGUUACGUCAGGGGAAUUAGUGGCAGUCACUUGAUGUGAGGUAGAUGGAGACGUAGCAUCCUCUUCUUUCUUCGUAUGUAAAAAUGUAUUAUGCCGUUGACCGCAAACAUUAAAAUUAUAUUUUGACGUAUACGUAGUUAACGUGUGAGAGGCAUUUAAACACGACACGCAUAAUCUAUUUUUUGUUACAUGGUCAUAACGUUUAACAGUUGUCAAUUUUUUGAACAUGAUGCAACGGUAUAUCGCAUGGUCAUCUUGGGAACAAGAAAACUGUUUGACUCCUUCAGCGAAAACUGAGCAGGAUUAGUGAAAGUUUUUCGGACGGCUGGCUGAACCACUGGCUGUUCCUGUAGAUAGCAAUGAUCGAGCACAGGACAUGGGCUUGUUUUUGUUGGUGCGAGUAUCGGUUUUUACUAGACCCUGAGUGUUCUCUAAUAUUUUGCACCGUUGUUGCACGAAUUUAUUAACAUGUCAAACGUAGGAAUUGAAUUUGUGUAACGGGAAUUCGAGCGUAUAUUACCAUUGUGUUUUAUAUCUCACAUGUAUAGAUGACACUUUUACUCCUAGUUGUACAUUAAAUCGGAUUUCGAAACAUUUGAGAGCCACUGAUAAGUUGAUACCAGUCCAGUAUAUCUUAGUUCGUGGACAUGUGUCUGAUCAUGGUUUUAGAAGAUAAAGACGGACAACUAUAUAUUAUCAGAAUUUCGCUUAGUGAGGCAAAUUAAUUUCCAAAUUUUGCCACUGUGUAAUUGAGCGCUGCCCUACAGACGUUUUUUAAAGUUAUGGAAUUAUAAUAUUAUAUUAAUUUAAAAGAAUCAUAUUCGACCAUAUAAACUAACUAGUGUAUUUUAAACCAAUUAGUUUAUAUGGUCGAAGAAAAUAAUAUAAUAAUAAAGUCUGUACAAAUAAAACCCCGAGUUUAGUAUAAAUAAGUUCCGAACCUCAAAAUACGUCUAACCGACAGCGUUUUUGCGACAAUUUGGGAAAUGUUUUUGCCUCAUUAAAAGGAAAUAUUAUAAUAGACAGGGGGCAGACCAUUAGAGGUUAACCUAGUUAACCUAACCUAACCUCUAAUGCACAUGGCGGAAUAAGGUUGGAAGUUGUCCGACCUUAUCUUCUAAGACCGCAGGUCCAGUGCAAUAACCAGGUAUCUCUGCUUUUUUCCGAAAGUGACUCUUCCAUGAAAACGAUUUGCAACGUUAUGCAACAACCCAGUACAACAACAAUACAUAUCCGCAUGACUAAAUAAAAGCAUAGAACAAUGCCCCUCCCCAAAUGACACCACUGGACUACUGAUGACUAAAUCGUCUACCUAAUCACGUUACCCAUAUAUCGACGAUUUAUAUAAAGGGGCUCGAACAACAGACCGAAUAUAGACAUUCAAAAAAACAUUUAAAAAACCCUCACUGACGACAGAUGGCUUAAUCUUUUGUGCCACUUACUAAAAUAUUGUUAAUUAUUUUCCUAUGGGAAUAAAUAAGAUAAUGAGGUUUCACAUGAUCACUUAGAACUACUCUGUAAAGUAAAAUUACCUGGUUAUUGCAUCGGAUAAAAUAUUGUUUUAAAUAAUAAAAUUGUUUUACUUUUCCUUAUAGAGUAUUAUCUUCACAAAGAUGAUACGAGAAAACAAAGGUUCACAACUUUAGAAGAAAAAAAUGGCCAAGUGAGACUAAAGUAUUAUGAAUUGAUGAAAAAUUGUCGGGCUCUUAGUGGAGAAGUUGACUAUGAAGUAUACGUAAUGAGACUAAUUAAUACCGGAUGCAGACCACUAGGUGAGCCAGAGUGGGAAAAAGAAUUAAACGCUACAGGAAGUACUAAUGAUGUCGCUAAACUUCAACGGUUAGUUACAUAAUAAGAUGCAGUAAACGCCAAAUUUGUCGAUAGUACAGAAAUUAUCAAGGAUAUUUAGUUUAUAACUGAUUAAAAAAUAUAAUGUAUCACUUCAUGUUAAAAAUUAUAAAUUUUUGAUUUUGUUAUUGCAAUUAUUUAACAUAUUUUUUAUAUAACAAUGGUGCUUAUAUAAUAGAAUCAAUAAAUCUAAUAAAAUACGAUAUAUUUUCGAAAGCUGUUUCCUAAAAUUACUUCCACAUUUAAACAUUUUUUAUAAAUAACUAUAGGUAUAUGUAUUGGUACCUACAUGUAUUUGAGCAUUUGAGAUCUGUGAGAACGGUCUAUAAGCUCACCCUCCCCCAUUACAGUUGCUAUAAAUCAAAAUUUAGCUCUAAAUUAUACUGAAAAUCAUUCAAAAAAAGGUGGGCAAGUGCAUGUCGCU